GAGGAGUGAGUUAAAGGGGCAUGUUGAAGGCAUGCUUUGUGUGAGGUGCCCAUCCAAAUUUGAGGAGGAUGAGGAAGAGAAGGCAGCUGGCUAGCAGAGACUGGAAUCCAAACAGAAUCUACGUUAGGAACUGGAGAAUCAUUACCGCAGAGUCACCGUGUUUACCUAAGGAGCAGCAUCAAUUCAAGACAAGCAGACUUGGUAAACCCAACGAUGUCAGGAAAAACUGGAUACCUGGCCCGCAGCACCACGUAUAAGAAGACGGGGAACAAGUCAUCCAUGGACCAGAGGAAGUCCUCCUGCAGCGAUGCAAGGACACUCUGGGAGAUCUCUUCAAAGGUCUGCUGGAUCACUUUAAGCUUGUCUGAUGGAGUAAAUGUUGUGCUGUUGUGAAAACAAAGUGUAAAAGAUAUCCUAUGAUUUUCCUAAUAAAGCCAUCUCUUAUUCAUUUAAAAAAAAAAAUUCCUCCAGGUCACAUGCCUCAAUUAGACACACUAGGCAGCCAGAAUGUGGAGGGAUGGCCUGGAAUCCUACAAUGUUUGGGAAAAGAAGUCAGAAAAGAGAUUAUGGUGGGAGGACCCACACGGAAUGUUUUCUUUGACCCACUGGAAUUCCGUUUCUGAAUGAAAAGUUGGCUAAUGAUAGGAGCACACAGAUAAAUCUCCAGGCAGGCUGUCUACUCCUUGGAAAACACAAGAGCAUAUUAGAGUAAAAGAGCCCAGAUGUUUGCAAAGAGACUUUCUGAUCUUUCCAUUUAUACUGACAACAUUUAGGAGUAGGAAGGAGAAUAAAAUAGCAAGAUACCAUCGAGGAAAAAAAAAAUGGAGAGGAAGGGGGUGGGGACCAUUGUAGUCUUUCUACUCUCCCAGGACAGGAGCCACUACUUUGAUUUGUCUGACUGUUCAACAACAUGAGGCAUUACCUGAUCUGCUGCAGGCAUUCUACUGCAGAUGCAAAGCAAGCAUCCUUUGUGGUUGACAACACCUGCAUAAGGAGAAUGAGUGUCAGAAGAGAGGCGUCUUCUGUAACAAGAACAUGAACAUCUCAGAGGACCCAGCCUGCUGGGGAUAACUGGCAUUAACAUGAGCACUGCUCAUGUAAAAUGGAGUCCUUCAGAACAGAGAAAAGCAUGUUUGAUGAGGAACUAAAAUCCACUAUACCUUUUUACUCUCUCCAAGGAUUGACAAGGUGGCUGGCCAGAAUUUUCUACAAUGAAAUCAUAAAUUGUUAGUCUAAGACAUCAGUAUGGCAGACACACCCUUUAUAAAGAUGAUGGUUAUCUUGGCUUCCCUGCUCCCCUUAACAACUUUUCUACAAAUUGGUUCUGGGUUUCAUGUUUUUAUUUACCUUUUUCCUAAAAUUUAGUAAACAUCCUGGAAAUGGCUUAAUAAUGUGAAAACUCCUGAGAAGAAACUAUAUCUGGCUGGGAGUGAAAACUCCCGGAAAGAGCCUGUGUCUGCAGAGAAUAAUGAACUGACUGGGAUCUCAGUGCUCUGAGAGACUGGAAUUUGUAGGUUCAAAGGCUAAUUACUUUAUCUUGGGCUAACUUUAGCCUUCUGAAACAGCCACUCCUGGCUCUGAAUCUGAAAAAACACCCCAUGAUAAUAAAUAAAGAUCUCAUAGAAGCUAUUAACUUAGUAGAACACUUUUCCAGUAAUCCAAGAGCUAAGAAUGUCAUAAGAUAGCAUCUUGGGUCUAUAAAAUAGCUACACAAUAGCCGUACACCUUGCCUGCCUGUCUCACCAUAUCUGACUCUCUGGCAUACUCAAUGCAUUUUAAACUUUCCUUGAUUGAUGACCUUCUUUGUUCUGUAAAACUAUAAAAACUGCUUCCAUGUUAGAGCACGGAAUUUGGGAUAACUUAAAUCUGUGUUCCUGAUCCAUAGUCACUUAUAAUGGCUCUAGAAUGAACAAUUUCUUAUUCCCUUGAAGAUGAGAGCUGUGGUUUUUAUAUUGGCAAUAGCAGCUACUAUAUCCCAGGGGGUUUUGUCAUCCUAUAACCUCAAUCUACAUCCAAUAACUGCACACUACAGUCCAGAGUAGGUCCUUCAUUUACACAUUUAUCACAUUUUUAUUACUAAAUUAUUCCAUUG
ensembl:antisense Gm29017 predicted gene 29017